UGAAGAGAGAGUUCAAGAGAACGUGAAAUCGUUGAAGUGGAACCGGAGAGAGUUGACGUAGUAUGGUGGAUAAGUAUUGCAAGAAUCGCUUCAAACAAUGAAUGUGAUCGAGUAAUAUGUACGUCACCAAAGACUGCGCUGACAGCAUCGACUACACGCUCUGAACUGUGUUGACAUGUUGCCUAUUCUAGUAUAUAGAAUGGUGUCUUGUGUUACGUGGUGAAGUUUGUUGUUAUGUUGUUGAUGUUGAUAAGUAUGAUUAUACACCAAGUAUAAUUAUGUCAGUGUAAAAGUCAACCACCUCUCCGACCCGUCUUGAAACACGGACCGAGGAGUGUAACUUGUACGCGAGUCAUUGGGUGGAAAAACCUUAAGGCGAAACGAAAGUGAAGGCACGGUUAACCGGCUGACAUGGGAAACGUGCGGUAUUGUUAGCGAGACGUUACACCAUGGCCCUGUCUUGUCUGCAUGCAGAUGGGCAGCGGUAGAGCGUACAGGUUGCGACCCGAAAGAUGGUGAACUAUGCCUGAGCAGGACGAAGUCAGAGGAAACUCUGGUGGAAGUCCGUAUCGGUUCUGACGUGCAAAUCGAUCGAUAGACUUGG
rnacentral:rRNA from 1 species